AGUGAACGCUGGCGGUAGGCCUAACACAUGCAAGUCGAACGGCAGCACAGUAAGAGCUUGCUCUUACGGGUGGCGAGUGGCGGACGGGUGAGGAAUACAUCGGAAUCUACUUUUUCGUGGGGGAUAACGUAGGGAAACUUACGCUAAUGCCGCAUACGACCUACGGGUGAAAGCAGGGGAUCUUCGGACCUUGCGCGAUUGAAUGAGCCGAUGUCGGAUUAGCUAGUUGGCGGGGUAAAGGCCCACCAAGGCGACGAUCCGUAGCUGGUCUGAGAGGAUGAUCAGCCACACUGGAACUGAGACACGGUCCAGACUCCUACGGGAGGCAGCAGUGGGGAAUAUUGGACAAUGGGCGCAAGCCUGAUCCAGCCAUACCGCGUGGGUGAAGAAGGCCUUCGGGUUGUAAAGCCCUUUUGUUGGGAAAGAAAAGCAGCAGGUUAAUACCCCGCUGUUCUGACGGUACCCAAAGAAUAAGCACCGGCUAACGUCGUG
rnacentral:rRNA from 1 species